UACGUAGGUGGCAAGCGUUGUUCGGAAUUAUUGGGCGUAAAGGGCGCGUAGGCGGUUUGUUAAGUCGGCUGUGAAAGCCCGGGGCUCAACCCCGGAGGGUCAGCCGAUACUGGCAGACUAGAGUACGGAAGAGGUAGCUGGAAUUCCCGGUGUAGCGGUGAAAUGCGUAGAGAUGCGGAGGAACACCAGUGGCGAAAGCGCCUUGCUGGGUCUGCACUGACACUGAGGGACGAAAGCUAGGGGAGCGAAAGGG
rnacentral:rRNA from 1 species